rnacentral:rRNA from 1 species
UACGUAGGGUGCAGGCGUUAAUCGGAAUUACUGGGCGUAAAGCGUGCGCAGGCGGCUCCUUAAGUCAGAUGUGAAAUCCCCGGGCUUAACCUGGGAACUGCGUUUGAAACUGAGGGGCUAGAGUGUGGAAGAGGGGGGUGGAAUUCCAGGUGUAGCAGUGAAAUGCGUAGAGAUGUGGAGGAACACCAGUGGCGAAGGCGACUCUUUGGUCUGUAACUGACGCUGAGGCGCGAAAGCGUGGGGAGCAAACAGG